UGAAUCUCGAAAUCUACUUUAUAUAUACCAUUUAAUAGGGGAAGAGGAGGGAGAAAAAGCCUUCCAUGGGAAGAACAAAUAGGUUUCUGGGGGAACAAAAGGGAGAUAAGAAUGUUUGUUUUUGCAGGUGCAAGUGGUCUUUGUCUUUUUUUCUGGCCACUAAAACUCCCCUAGAGAGGAGAUUUACGGCAGCUUCACUCCCAGAAAUUUCUGCUGUUAGUCGCAUAAGGGAAGCUUUGAAACGGCAUCUUUCUGCAUCUGUUGGCUCUCAAAUGUCUUCAGUUCCAAGUAACAUUCAUGCCAAUUCUGGGGGUCUGAGUGUCCCCACAUAAUACAUGUGUUCUCUUGUCUUUUAAUGAAGUUUGUGGGAGGCAUCUAACUGUAGCCUCCAAAAUUUGGCCCAUAGGUACUACUGUCCUUAUCAAAGACGAGGAAACAAGUUCAGAAAAGUAUUAAUUGCUCCGAGUUAUCUGCUUGGCUAGCUAGGAUCAGAGCUCAGUUCUCCAUUUAACCCAAAGCCCAGGCUCUUAACCUCUUACAACUGGCGCAUCCCCUCUGAACCUCCAUUUCCUCCCUGUAAAAGAAUAACAUCGGCCGGGCGCAGUGGCUCACAUCUAUAAUCCCAGCACUUUGGGAGGCAGAGAUGGGCGGAUCACGAGGUCAGGAGUUUGAGACCAGCCUGGCCAACAUGGUGAAACCCCAUCUCUACUAAAAAUACAAAACUUAGCUGGGUGUGUUGGUGCCUGUAACCCCAGCUACUCAGGAGACUGAGGCAGGAGAAUUGCCUUAACCUGGGAGGCGGAGGUUGUGGUGAGCCAAGAUCGUGCCAUUGCACUCCAGCCUCGGUGACAGAGCAAGACUCCAUCCCCAAAAAAACAAACAACAACAACAAAAAGAGAAUAACGUUAUAUUCAGUUGAACCAAAAUGAAUUAAAUAUUAAUAUUUGUACUUCAAAAACGGUCCAGCUUGGCUGGGCGCAGUGGCUCCCGCCUGUAAUCCCAACAUUUUGGGAGGCCGAGGCAGGAGGAUCAUUUGAGGUCAGGAGUUUGAGACCAGCCUGGCCAACAUGGUGAAAUCCUGUCUCUACUAAAAAUACAAAAAUUAGCUGGGCAGUAGUAGCGCGUGCCGGUAAUCCCAGCUAUUCAGGAGGCUGAGGAAGGAGAAUUGCUUGAGCUUGGGAGGUGAAAGUUGUGGUGAGCUGAGACUGCACUACUGCACACCAGUCUGGGAGACAGAGUAAGACCCUGUCUCAAAACAAAACAACCAAAAAACCAAAAAGGUCCAGCUUGGGCAACAUAGUGAAACUUCGUCUCUACAGAAAAUUUUUAAAAUACUAGCAGGGCACCGGGCACAGUGGCUCAUACCUGUAAUCCCAGCACUUUGGGAGGCUGAGGCAGGCGGGUCACUUGUGGUCAGGAGUUUGGGAUCAGGCAGGCCAACAUGGUGAAACCGUGUCUCUACUAAAAAACAAAAAUUAGCUGGGCAUGGUGGUAGGCACCAGUAAUCCUAGCACUCAGGAGGCUGAGGCAUGAGAAUUGCCUGAACCCGCAAAGCAGGGGUUGCAGUGAACCAAGAUGGCGUCACUGUACUCCAGCCUGGGUGACAGAAUAAGACUCCUCAAUUAAAAAAAAAAAAAAUUAGCUGGGCAUGGUGUUGCGGGCCUGUGGUCCCAGGUACUCAGGAGGCUGAGGUGAGAGGAUUACUUAAGCCUGGGAGGUUGAGGCUACAGUAAGCCAAGAUCACGCCACUAUACUCCAGCCUCUGUGACAGAGCCAGACCCUGUCUCAAAAAAAUUUUAAAAAGGGCAAAUUUUGGCAAUUUCACAUAGUUCAACCUAGUAUAAGGUGGUUGUAAUAACUAAAUGAGAUAAAAUGGUGUUAAAUUGGAAGUAUUAUAGUAUUUCUGUUAACAACAUAGGGCUCCAGAACCAGCUUCCUUGAGUUUAAAUCCAGGCUCCACCACUUCCUAGCUAUGCAGUCAUGGGCAAGUUACUUGACCCAACUGUGCCUCAGCUUCAUCCAUGAUAUGGAGAUACAGGAUAACCAGCCUCUUACGUGCAAUUCUGAAAUCCAAAAAGCUCUGUAAACCAAAAGUUUGGGGGUAAACUCAUUUGGUAGCAAAUUUUGACCUGAGGCUAUUUAUAGUCUAUAUUCUGUAUUCUUUCUACUUAGUAUGAAUAAGCAUGUAAGUUUUACUGCAUGUUUGAUUUCAGCAUGUUCCCCCAGACUCUCUGGGGGUGUUUACGUAUGCCGGUGGGGGAAAGAGACCAACUCUCAAAUAUUAUCUCAAACAGUUGGUUUCACUGUGCUUGCUUGGGUAGCACAUAUACCAAAAUUGGAAUGACCCCUGCACAGGGAUGAAAUGCAAAUUCGUGAAGCAUACUGUAUUUUUCUUAGCACAUACCACCUUUGGCAAUAUUCUUUUUUUUUUUUUGAGAGGG
rnacentral:lncRNA from 10 species